rnacentral:rRNA from 1 species
UACGAAGGUCCCGAGCGUUGUUCGGAAUCACUGGGCGUAAAGGGAGCGUAGGCGGCGCGGUAAGUCAGAUGUGAAAUCCCGGGGCUCAACCCCGGAACUGCAUCCGAUACUGCCGUGCUAGAGGAUUGGAGAGGUAGCUGGAAUUCUUGGUGUAGCAGUGAAAUGCGUAGAGAUCAAGAGGAACACUCGUGGCGAAAGCGAGCUACUGGACAAUAUCUGACGCUGAUGGACGAAAGCGUGGGUAGCGAACAGG